CGCCAACCAGCUAGCCCGCCCCAACAAAACUAACACCCCAAUAUUAAUACCCCCGAAUACCCCUUCCCCCCCCCCCAAACAAACCAUUUUUCCCCCUUAGUAUAGGAGACAGAAAAGGAACAACAGAGCAAUAGAGAAAGUACCGUAAGGGAACGCUGAAAGAGAAAUGAAACAACCCAGUAAAGCCCAAAAAAGCAGAGAUCCCCCCUCGUACCUUUUGCAUCAUGAUUUAGCCAGUACCCCUCAAGCGAAGAGCAUUUUAGUUUGAUCCCCCGAAACUACGUGAGCUACUCCAAGACAGCCUAUCAUAGGGCAAAUCCGUCUCUGUGGCAAAAGAGUGGAAAGAGCUUUGAGUAGAGGUGACAAACCUACCGAACCUAGUUAUAGCUGGUUGCCUGAGAAUUGGAUAUGAGUUCAGCCUCUAGGCUUCUUUCCUCCCCCGGACCUUACCAACACCGACACCUAAAGAAACCAAGAGAGUUAAUCAAAGGGGGUACAGCCCCUUUGAUAUAAGACACAACUUUUACAGGAGGGUAAAGAUCAUAAUCACCAAGGACAUAUGCCCUAGUGGGCCUAAAAGCAGCCACCUACAUAGAAAGCGUUAAAGCUCAAGCAUUAAACCUGCCCACCUAUUCAGAUAACACCUCCCAACCCCCUAACACUACCAGGCCUUCUCAUGCAAACAUGAGAGUGCCCAUGCUAAUAUGAGUAAUAAGAAGGCCCCGGCUUUCUCCUGACACACGUGUAAAUCAGAACGAACCCCCACUGAAACUUACCGGCCCCAAACAAAGAGGGCAAUGGACAAGAAAUAAAGAGCCAGAAAAACGUCCAACAAGCAACCGUUAACCCUACACCGGUGUGCCCCCCAGGAAAGACUAAAAGAAGGAGAAGGAACUCGGCAAACCAACCCCAGCCUCGCCUGUUUACCAAAAACAUCGCCUCUUGCCAGUAGAAUAUAAGAGGUCCCGCCUGCCCUGUGACUAUAUGUUUAACGGCCGCGGUAUUUUAACCGUGCGAAGGUAGCGCAAUCACUUGUCUUUUAAAUGAAGACCUGUAUGAAUGGCACGACGAGGGCUUAACUGUCUCCUCCCUCAAGUCAAUGAAAUUGAUCUCCCCGUGCAGAAGCGGGGAUGAGCCCAUAAGACGAGAAGACCCUAUGGAGCUUUAGACAUACGGUAUAUCCCGUUAAACACCCCUGGACAAAGGACUUAACUAAAGGAACCAUACCCCCCUGUCUUUGGUUGGGGCGACCACGGGGAAACAAAGAACCCCCAUGUGGAAGGGGAGCACUGCUCCUACAACCAAGAGCCGCAACUCUAGUGAACAGAACUUCUGACCAAAUAUGAUCCGGCAGUGCCGAUCAACGGACCGAGUUACCCUAGGGAUAACAGCGCAAUCCUCUUUUAGAGCCCAUAUCGACAAGAGGGUUUACGACCUCGAUGUUGGAUCAGGACAUCCUAAUGGUGCAACCGCUAUUGAGGGUUCGUUUGUUCAACGAUUAAAGUCCUACGUGAUCUGAGUUCAGACCGGAGUAAUCCAGGUCAGUUUCUAUCUAUGAUAUGUUUUUUUCUAGUACGAAAGGACCGGAAAGAAGAGGCCCAUGCUUGAAGCACGCCUCCCCCUUCCUAAUGAAAACAACUAAAAUAGGCAAGAGGGCAUACCCACCUCCCACGCCUGAGAUAAUGGCAU
rnacentral:rRNA from 1 species